rnacentral:rRNA from 1 species
UAAUAGUGUAUAUUAAAGUUGUUGCAGUUAAAAAGCUCGUAGUUGAAUGUUGGUGUCGAACGAGCGGUCAGCUUCGGCUGUACUGCUCCCUCGACUCCUUCCUUCUGUGGACUACGUCGCACUUUACUGUGUGGCGCUAGGACGCAGAUCGUUUACUGUGAAAAAAUUAGAGUGUUCAAAGCAGGCCGUACGCUUGAAUACAUUAGCAUGGAAUAAUGGAAUAGGACGUCGGGCCUAUUUUGUUGGUUCUAGGACCGUCGUAAUGAUUAAUAGGGACAGUUGGGGCCGUUUAUAUUCCGUAGUCAGAGGUGAAAUUCUUGGAUUUACGGAAGAUAAACUACUGCGAAAGCAUUCGGCAAGGAUGUUUUCGUUAA